CCAGUUCCAUGUCCCAACAAAGGAGGCUUGCAUCAGGGGUUAAGAUUUGGUCACAACUUUUUCUCAUGAAUCCUGACAAUCUGACAUUUUCUCAUGAUGACUCUUCUAGAAAAAGAGACUCAAGUGCCUGAAGAUAAAUUCUGAAAUUUUAUUCAGGAAACAAAACACACACAAAUGCCUAAUCUAUAAUAUGCAUGGACCUGUAUUGUAGCCAAAGAUACAUUUCUUGCUUUCCUACCAUGAACCAGUUUUGUAAUUUAAAUUGUACACAGAUAAACACUGAGAAAGGAGCAAAUCCUACUAAUCAAAGGAAAUCUACUUCUAUAGAAAACUAGAUAAUUGAUAGAAGAAUCAUUCAUCAAAACCUGUGCAUGUAUACGGCAGUGCACACGUGCAUGGUCCAUAAUCUGAUUGACCACCUUUGGGGCCUGCAAUCUGAUACAAUUCCUUGUGUAUCCCACAUAUCUGAUCUGAUCUAAUUUAACCACUAGUGCAGUGCACCCCUUUUAUUUGAGAUGCAGUUGCAGGGCCGAUUUCAUCAAUUUCCUUAGCUUGAAGAAACUAACCCUCAAAAUUUUGCUUGUCCACUAGUUGUCCUUGUGUUGGGUUCUUGUUGGCUUUUCUUAACAGGUGUGUAGAUCCACUUAUUGGACUGACACCAUGGAUUUAAAUAGCAGUUUUGAAGUGCGAGUUGCUUGGGGAAUGAAACAGGUUGAAGUCCCGCUGCCGAGUGUUUGGGUAGCAUUGUGGAAGGGGAAAUUGCAAUCCUUUGGUGGCUGCUGCCUCUACUGAAUCCCUUACGAAACAGUUCUUGUGGAAUGGCAAAGAAAAUGCUCACAAUUUCCAUGUUGUAUCAUGGAAGGAUGUUUGUAGACCAAUUGCCAAAGGGGUCCUGGGGUUAUCAGGGCUUUGGAUAUUGUGUUUCUAUCUAAAUGGUGGCGGCGAGCCGGUGAUGGAUCUACAUCACUGUCUUUUUAGGUGCUAUCAUUGAAAUAUGGGUCUGCCUCAAACAACUGGGAGAUCAAUGCAGCUUUGAGAAGGUCGGGAUCUUUUAUGUGGAGGGAAGUAUCAUGGGCUGCUGAAUUUUGUUCGAACUUUAUUGUAUUGCAUGUUGGCAAUAGUGAAAAAACCUGCUUCUGGUGAUGUUCCUAUUUGCAAAAACUUUGAAAGGUUGUAUCAGCAGGUGGAGAAAAAAGUGGCUCCAGUCAGUUCUUGUUUUCAGAGGAGCGGUAGGCAGACUGUUUGGCUUCUGAACUUUGACCAGAACAUGAGGAAUGAUGAAACUAAAGAGCUUACCUGAUUGCUUGUAGAUCUGGAUGGUGUUUACAUGCCACAAUCUGGUGAUGAUAUGCAUAUAUGGUCUGUUGAAACUAUGGAUAGGUUCUCAGUUAGCCCUGUCAUACUAUUCACACGUUUGGAAGGUGUUUACAUGCCACUUCCACAAACUGGUGAGGAUAUGCGUAUAUGCUACUUCGACACCAUUGAUAGGUUCUCAGUUAGCCCUAUCAUGUUGUUUGCUAGACGAGGAUGAUCGGCUGGAUGGUCCUUUCUAUAAAAUAUGGUCAGCUAGGAGUCUGAUGAAAGUCCAUACUUUUGUUUGGAGUCUUUGGACUGCUUGCCUGGAUAAGAUCUUUACCAUUGAUCGCUUGCAAAGCUUGGGGCAUGCAGAUUCCUAACUGGUGCAGUAUGUGUAAGGGGAACGCUUCUCAAAUCAGUCAAUCAUUUGUUCAUCCACUAUCCAUAUGCUUAUAGAAUUUGGCAUGCGACCUUGUCCUGAUUUGGGAUAUCUUGGGUUUUUCUGAUUCAGAUAAAGAUCUUCGAUAUGGAUUGUCUUCCAUGGCGUGGAGUGAAAUGGGUAGAACCUUGUGGAGGAAUGUGGUUCAAGUGGUCAUCUGGUCAAUCUAGUUAGAACACAAUGCCAGGAUCUUUGAAGGUAAAGAUUGUUGGAGCAGUGGUCUGGUCAGGAAAAAAAAUAAAAAUCAAUCUUCCCCUUCUCUGGUCAGGAAAAAUAAUAAUUCAAUCUUCUCCUCCUCUGGUCAGGAAAAAAAAUAAAAUCAAUCUUCUCCUUCUCUAGUCAAAAAGGGUUGAUAGAUUUGGAGGUAUUCCCAGCCCCUAUUUUCAGUCAAACUAGGUGGAACU